AAGCACCAUGCUUAAACUGAGUUCCACCACCAGGAAAAGUAAGAUAUUCACCAGUAACCUUAACCCAAUUCUGGUGCCCCUUAACCUCUGCAAGCUUGGUAUGGGGAACAUUAUAGUACCAUAUCUUUUCCCUGCUUUUAGGCCACUUAACUGAACGUCUAUAUCCCUCAGGUAUAGGAACCAGACAUGUGGGAGCUUCUUCAGGGCAGUGCCUCUCACGAUGUUCAUAAUGCUUUGUGCUUGGAAGCCUUCUGAUAAUUUGCCAAUUGUCAAGGCAAGGAAUGUAGUCUGGACCAGCAGUGGCAUUACAGAGCUUCCAGGUAUGAGCAAAUCGGUCCUUAGAAAUUGUAGAUUGUUGUGAUUGCUUUUCAUUCUGUGACUCUACCGCUUGAGUCGACCAAGCACCAUUUUGAGCAUCAGUUUCAUUUAAAAUUUCAGACUGGGAACCAGUAGGGAAAAUCUCAUCUGAAGCCUGGUUUUUUUCUUGACUUUCCACAUUGUUCUCACUAGCACUUUGCUCCACCUGACUACCAUCUUUUUCUUCCCGCCUAUUUUCAUCUAAACUGUCUCCCAUGUCUAAAUUCUUGCCCCCCUCAUCAGACUCAGAUUUAUUUUCACCAGAGGCCUCCUCUGAUUCUGUUUGCUCAUUUUUCUUCAUUUCACCACCUUCAGCUUGCGUCUGUCUAGUUUCUCCAUCUCCUGUGUUUUCACCUCCAUCAUUUUCAGCCUCCUCUUUUGGCCCCUCUUGAGACUCAGUCUUCCCGUCCUGGUUUUCUUCCUUAUUCUUGGACUCAAUCUUCAUAUCAGUGCCUUCUGUCUCAACCUUCUCUUCCUUCUUACCCUCAACUAUAAUCCCAGUCUCUAACGCGUUCUCACUUUGAUCAUCCUGAGUAUCAGAUUUGUUUUCACUUUGAGAAUAAAUGGUAUUGCCAUCGUUUUUCAUUGCAUCUUCUGGUAAAUCGCCUGAACUGUCUUCAAAUUGCUUAGAAUUACUUUCAAUGCCUGUUCCUUUGACCUCAUUUACUGUCUCUUGGGAGGAUAAGUUUGAAUCAUGAACUGGAACAACAGAAGAUGACAUUAACAUCCAAACUCCAACUAAACAAAAGGCAACAAACACAACCACAACGAUUGUUGAACAGUAGCCUGAUGACUUCCUCCCAUCAACACGGGAGUACUUCCCCAUGGCCAUGCCUCUUUCGAUAAAGAUGCCCUUAGUUUUAUAUGCCCUUUUUAGCCAAAGACUUGCUAAAUUCGGAUCUGAGUGAAGAAAGCAAGCAAAAGAAACCCUCGCCUUUUACUCUCCUUGUUCUCCUUUCAGAGCAAGGGAUAAAGAAAGAAGAGUGAUCGUUGGCGGAAUCGUGCUAAGCAUUGAGGUUUUUAUGGCAAAGUUUUUCUUUUUUUAUUAAAAAAAAAAGAUAUUAUUAUAACAGCUAUAAAGUGCGAGUGAAAAUAGUCCAAAGAGUGAGAGAAAGAACAGCCAACGGGGAAUUCUGGAAAGCAAUGAAACCAGUUGGAUGAUAACCGAGUGAAAAGAAGAGUCAAUAUUUG
rnacentral:misc_RNA from 1 species